AUUGAACGCUGGCGGCAGGCCUAACACAUGCAAGUCGAGCGGAGCGGCGGACGGGUGAGUAUUGCCAAGGAAUCUGCCUGGUACUGGGGGAUAAGGUCCGGAACUGGGCGCGAAUACCGCAUACUAUGGGAUUCGCCUAGGGCGGAUUAGCGAGUGGGUGGGGGAAAGGCAUACCAAGGCGACGAUCCGUACCUGGGCGGAGUGGAUGAUCAGUCAACCGGGAACUGAGACACGGUCCAGACGCCUACGGGAGGCAGCAGGGGGGAAUAUUGGACAAUGGGCGAAAGCCUGAUGCAUCCAUGCCGCGUGUGUGAAGAAGGUCUUCGGAUUGUAAAGCACUUUAAGCUGGGAGGCGUUACCAACAGAAUAAGCACCGGCUAACUUCGUGCCAGCAGCCGCGGUAAUAC
rnacentral:rRNA from 1 species